ACACUGGGACUGAGACACUCCCCAGACUCCUACGGGAGGCAGCAGCUAAGAAUCUUCCGCAAUGGGCGAAAGCCUGACGGAGCGACGCCGCGUGAACGAGGAAGGCCGAAAGGUUGUAAAGUUCUUUUCUUAGGGAAGAAUAAUGCAGGGAUUGGAAAGCUUUGCAGAUGACAUUAACUGAGGAAUAAGCCCCGGCCAAUUACGUCCAGCAGCCGCGGUAAUACGUAUGGGGCGAGCGUUGUUCGGAAUUAUUGGGCGUAAAGGGCGUGUAGGCGGUUUUAUAAGCCUGGUGUGAAAUACCACAGUUUAACUGUGGAGACGCGCUGGGAACUGUAAGACUAGAGUUCAGGAGGGGAAGCUGGAAUUCCUGGUGUAGGGGUGAAAUCUAUAGAUAUCAGGAAGAACACCGAUGGCGAAGGCAAGCUUCUAGCCAUGGACUGACGCUGAGGCGCGAAAGCGUGGGGAGCGAACAGGAUUAAAUACCCUGGUAAUCCACGCUGUAAACGACGUGCACUGGGUGUAGGGGGCGUUGAGCUCUCUGUGCCGUAGCUAACGCGUUAAGUGCACCGCCUGGGGAGUAUGCUCGCAAGGGUGAAACUCAAAGGAAUUGACGGGGGCCCGCACAAGCGGUGGAGCAUGUGGUUUAAUUCGAUACGCGAGGAACCUUACCAGGGCUUGACAUGUACUUGAAGGCUUAAGAGAUUAAGUCGACCUUUAGGGGACAGGUACACAGGUGCUGCAUGGCUGUCGUCAGCUCGUGUCGUGAGAUGUUGGGUUAAGUCCCGCAACGAGCGCAACCCUUACUGUCUGUUACCAGCAGGCCUUUGGGCGCUGGGGAUUCAGGCAGAACUGCCGGUGACAAACCGGAGGAAGGUGGGGAUGACGUCAAGUCAUCAUGGCCCUUAUGUCCUGGGCUACACACGUGCUACAAUGGCAGGUACAAAGCGUUGCGAGACGGUGACGUCCUUAGCAAAUCGCAAAAAGCCUGUCUCAGUUCGGAUUGGAGUCUGAAACUCGACUCCAUGAAGUUGGAAUCGCUAGUAAUCGCGCAUCAGAAUGGCGCGGUGAAUAUGUUCCCGGGCCUUGUACACACCGCCCGUCACACCACCCGAGUUGGGGGUACCCGAAGUCGCUAGUCUAACUGUAAAGAGGACGGUGCCGAAGGUAUGCCUGGUAAGGGGGGUGAAGUCGUAACAAGGUA
rnacentral:rRNA from 1 species